rnacentral:tRNA from 2 species
GGAGAGAUGUCCGAGCGGCUGAAGGAGCACGACUGGAAAUCGUGUGUGCUGCCAAAAGCGGCACCGAGGGUUCAAAUCCCUCUCUCUCCGCCA